rnacentral:precursor_RNA from 15 species
UGUGAGAGAAUUCCGUGGCUGGCAUCGCUCGCUGUAAAUUGUAAUCAUCAAAGCGUUUUCUCAGAGCCGCUUGGUGUUACUUCUUACAGUGAGUGUGCCAGUCCGUACACAGAAAGAAAACC